GGGGGAAUCCCAAAUUGUCAGCAACCCAUCACUCCCAGGCAAAAUCCAAACUGCUGGGCUGUCCCCUUGGACUGAUUUGUGUGCUGGCUUUUGGGGACAGCUAUCCUCUGCACAGUGGACACCAGGCUCUGUUAAGCUGACCUCUAAUGUGCCUUGAGGUUGGUUACCUUGGUGACAGAAACUCCAUUUGCACUAGCUUACAUUAGAAAAAGAGGAGGGAGAAUAUGGUCGAGUGACCCCAGGAGUGAUGGGGAGCACUGACGGAGUUUCUCCCUGCUCUGGGUAGCAGAUCCGCUGGCUCCCAGCUUAUGAUCCAUGAAGAGAACGUGUUCCCCUUGGGCUUCAAUUUGAAGAAUCUUGAAGAGGACCCUGAUGGCCUCUCGCGGUCCACGUGCCCCUUCUUGCAUUAUUGUGAUGGUCCUAUCCACGGACGCCUUCUCUUGGAUUCUGUGCUUGGAUGCGGAGGAAUCAUUGAUCCUCUGUAGUGGAAGGGAAGGGAGGACACCCCAAGACCAUGUGGCCCCAAGAGCCGUGAGAGGAGCAGAAGCCUGACUGGUGCCUCUUACAUGUCACUGCAGCCUCGGGGGGGCCACCAGGAAAACACCUGACAUCCUGUUCUCUAGUAAUGGCGUGGCUGGAAUCAUUCCUGUACCAAAUAAUUCACCCAUUUAAAGUGUGCAAUCCAACAAUGAUUGGUAUACUCAGAGUUCUGCAACUCUCACCACAAUCAAUUUUGGAACAUUUCUAUCAUCCCUAGCAAUAAAUACUAUAUCUUUUUUUUUUUUUUG
rnacentral:lncRNA from 1 species